UCCAGGCCCUACGGGGCGCAGCAGGCGCGAAACCUUCGCACGUGCGCGAAAGCGCGACGAGGGGAGCCCGAGUGCCUCUCCAUUUCGGGGACGGCUUUUCACAAGCCCUAAAAAAGCUUGUGGAAUAAGGGCUGGGCAAGACGGGUG
rnacentral:rRNA from 1 species